GUGCUCAUGUUAGCAGCAUAUACAUUAAAAUUGGAAUGAUGCAGAUAAGAUUAGCACAGCCCCUGAGCAAGGAUGACAGGCAAAUUUGGGAAACAGUCCAUAUUCUU
rnacentral:snRNA from 1 species